GGUGGGUGUAGCUCAGGGGUAGAGUGUGUGCUUAGCAUGCACAAGGUCCUGGGUUCAAUCCCCAGUACCUCCA
rnacentral:tRNA from 1 species